AAUAGGGUAAGCUAUAAACCAAGCUGUUGGGCUCAUAACCCAAAAAUAGACUACACUCUUCCUAUUA
rnacentral:tRNA from 1 species